GAUGAACGCUGGCGGCGUGCUUAACACAUGCAAGUCGAACGGUGAACACGGAGCUUGCUCUGUGGGAUCAGUGGCGAACGGGUGAGGAACACGUGAGCAACCUGCCCCUGACUCUGGGAUAAGCGCUAGAAACGGCGUCUAAUACUGGAUCCGAGUAGCGGCCGCAUGGUCAGUUACUGGAAAGAUUUUUUGGUUGGGGAUGGGCUCGCGGCCUAUCAGCUUGUUGGUGAGGUAAUGGCUCACCAAGGCGUCGACGGGUAGCCGGCCUGAGAGGGUGACCGGCCACACUGGGACUGAGACACGGCCCAGACUCCUACGGGAGGCAGCAGUGGGGAAUAUUGCACAAUGGGCGAAAGCCUGAUGCAGCAACGCCGCGUGAGGGAUGACGGCCUUCGGGUUGUAAACCUCUUUUAGCAGGGAAGAAGCGAAAGUGACGGUACCUGCAGAAAAAGCGCCGGCUAACUACGUGCCAGCCGCCGCCGUAA
rnacentral:rRNA from 1 species